AAGACCCCUUUUAGAACCUUUAAAACUAUGGCUAGCCUAGACCGAUGGUCACGUAGUAUAGGCCACCGAGGUGCCUUCCUCGUAAUACGAAGAUCUCACUUAGAGUAGAUGACUUUGAUGGAGCAGUCGCCUGGCAAGUAAAUUGACAUAAGCGGCUGACAGUCAAGGAAAUCUAUGACUCUAGGGGCAGUGUCUUACACCCAAUUUUCCAAAAGCCUUAGAUCACACAAAGCGAGAACCUUGGUUUACUAAGCCGUCAUUAUUAACUCCAUGCUUCGUCAC
rnacentral:lncRNA from 1 species